AACCAUACGCUUACAAGCGGUCGGAGCACGUUUACGUGUGACGGCGUGCCUUUUGCAUAAUGAGCCUACGAGUUACCGUUGCUAGCAAGGUUAAGUACUUAAGGUACGGAUCCGUAGCGAAAGCGAGUCUGAAUAGGGCGCUUAAGUUAGUAGUGGUAGACGCGAAACCGUGUGAUCUACCCAUGGGCAGGUUGAAGCUGUAGUAACAUACAGUGGAGGACCGAACCGGUUGACGUUGAAAAGUCUUCGGAUGACCUGUGGGUAGGGGUGAAAGGCCAAUCAAACUCGGAAAUAGCUCGUACUCCCCGAAAUGCAUUUAGGUGCAGCGUUGAUAUAGUUUUAUAGAGGUAGAGCUACUGAUUGGAUGCGGGGGCUUCACCGCCUACCAAUUCCUGACAAACUCCGAAUGCUAUAAAAUGAUUAUCAGCAGUGAGGGCAUGGGUGCUAAGGUCCAUGUCCGAGAGGGAAAGAACCCAGACCAUCAGCUAAGGUCCCAAAAUGUAUGCUAAGUUGAAUAAACGAGGUUGAACUGCUUAGACAGCUAGGAUGUUGGCUUGGAAGCAGCCAUUCAUUUAAAGAGUGCGUAACAGCUCACUAGUCGAGCGGUUCGGCAUGGAUAAUAAUCGGGCAUAAGUAUACUACCGAAGCUAUGGAAUAUUUUAUAUUGGUAGGGGAGCAUUGUAGUGUCGUCGAAGGUGUACUGCGAGGUAUGCUGGAGAAGCUACAAAAGAAAAUGUAGGCAUAAGUAACGAUAAUGCGGGCGAGAAACCCGCACUCCGAAAGACUAAGGUUUCCUCAGCUAUGCUAAUCAGCUGAGGGUUAGUCGGGACCUAACGCGAACCCGAAAGGGGUAGUGGAUGGACAACAGGUUAAUAUUCCUGUACCUGCUCACGCUAAAAGUGACGGAGGCGUAUAUUUGGUGCGUGCUGACGGAAUAGCACGUUGAAGCCAGUGGUAACACGGCGAUAGUACACUAAGACUUCGGUUGCGGUGAUAAUCCAGAGAAGCGACUUCCAAGAAAAACAAGUGAAGCAGCCCGUACCCUAAACCGACACAGGUAGUUGGGAUGAGAAUUCUAAGGAGCUCGAGAGAUUCAUGGCUAAGGAACUAGGCAAAAUAGACUCGUAACUUCGGGAGAAGAGUCGCCCCCUUUUGGGGGGCCGCAGUGAAAAGAUCCAGGCGACUGUUUAUCAAAAACACAGGGCUAUGCUAAAUUGAAAGAUGACGUAUAUGGCCUGACACCUGCCCGGUGCUGGAAGGUUAAGUGGAGGGUUUAGCUUCGGCGAAGAUCUGAAAUGAAGCCCCAGUAAACGGCGGCCGUAACUAUAACGGUCCUAAGGUAGCGAAAUUCCUUGUCGGGUAAGUUCCGACCUGCACGAAUGGUGCAACGAUCUGGAUACUGUCUCAGCCAUGAGCUCGGUGAAAUUGUAGUAACGGUGAAGAUGCCGUUUACCCGCUGUGGGACGAAAAGACCCCGUGCACCUUUACUAUAGCUUAGUAUUGGUUUUGGAUAA
rnacentral:rRNA from 1 species